rnacentral:rRNA from 1 species
GACAGAGGUUGCAAACGUUGUUCGGAAUUACUGGGCAUAAAGCGCACGUAGGCGGUCCGUUAAGUCGUGUGUGAAAUCCCCCGGCUCAACCGGGGAAUUGCGCCUGAUACUGGCGGGCUAGAGGUCGAUAGGGGUGAGCGGAACUCCAGGUGGAGCGGUGAAAUGCGUAGAUAUCUGGAGGAACACCGGUGGCGAAAGCGGCUCACUGGAUCGAAACUGACGCUGAGGUGCGAAAGCUAGGGUAGCAAACGGG